rnacentral:lncRNA from 1 species
GUCUCGGCGGCUUCCUCCUCCCAGUGUGCGAGGGAGGCCGGGAGGGGUCCCUGGGCGGGGAGUUGCUGCGCAUCUGCUGUGUCUGCCUGUCUCUCUGUCUGGGUCUCUUUCAGGCUGCGUCGGUCUGUCUGUCUGGGUCUGUUUCAGGCUGUGUCUGUCUGUCUGUCUGGGUCUGUUUCAGGCUGUGUCUGUCUGUCUGUCCGGGUCUGUUUCAGGCUGUGUCUGUCUGUCUGUCCGGGUCUGUUUCAGGCUGUGUCUGUCUGUCUGUCCGGGUCUGUUUCAGGCUGUGUCUGUCUGUCUGUCCGGGUCUGUUUCAGGCUGUGUCUGUCUGUCUGUUUGUCUGGGUCUGUUUCAGGCUGUGUCUGUCUGUCCGGGUCUGUUUCAGGCUGUAUGUGUGUCUGCUCUUUGCUUCUGCUCCUGGCUCUGUGUGUAUUUCCCGGG